rnacentral:rRNA from 1 species
AUUGAACGCUGGCGGCAGGCCUAACACAUGCAAGUCGAACGAGUGGCGGACGGGUGAGUAACACGUGGGAACCUACCCAUCAGAGGGGGAUAACACUUGGAAACAGGUGCUAAUACCGAUUACGGCAGGAUGGCCACGGGGUGCAUUAGCUAGUUGGUGGGGUAACGGCUCACCAAGGCCACGAUGCGUAGCCGACAUGAGAGGAUGAUCAGCCACACUGGGACUGAGACACGGUCCAGACUCCUACGGGAGGCAGCAGUGGGGAAUAUUGCACAAUGGGCGAAAGCCUGAUGCAGCCAUGCCGCGUGUAUGAAGAAGGCCUUCGGGUUGUAAAGUACUUUCAGCGGGGAGGCGUUACCCGCAGAAGAAGCACCGGCUAACUCCGUGCCAGCAGCCGCGGUAAUAC